rnacentral:rRNA from 1 species
AUGGGCGCCACGUCGUACGAGAGGCUGUCCAGCCACGGCGCCGGGAGCGGGCGCCGCGGAGGAGGGCUAGGGGCGUGGGCGGCGCUGAGGCGCGGGCUGGCGCGGCUGUGCGCCGCGCGGCGGGGGCGGUGGGCGCCGGCGAGGGGCAUGCUGGUGCGGGCGCAGGGGAGGAGCUGGCGAGGCCGCAGGAGGGUGGCGGCCGGAUGCGGGUACGACUCGGAAAGCUACGCGCGCAACUUCCACGACGGGCUGUGGAAGGCGGAGGAGGGCGCGCCGUGGAGGGCCGCCGGGCCGGCCAUCGGCGCCUGCAGGCUCGCCCGCGCCGUGUCCUCCCUCCAGUGA